rnacentral:rRNA from 1 species
UAUCCUGGCUCAGGAUGAACGCUGGCGGCGUGCUUAACACAUGCAAGUCGAACGAAGCAAUAGGAAGGAAGUUUUCGGAUGGAAUUCAUAUUGACUGAGUGGCGGACGGGUGAGUAACGCGUGGGUAACCUGCCUCAUACAGGGGGAUAACAGUUAGAAAUGACUGCUAAUACCGCAUAAGCGCACAGAAUCGCAUGAUAAUGUGUGAAAAACUCCGGUGGUAUGAGAUGGACCCGCGUCUGAUUAGCUAGUUGGUGGGGUAAAGGCCUACCAAGGCGACGAUCAGUAGCCGACCUGAGAGGGUGAUCGGCCACAUUGGGACUGAGACACGGCCCAAACCCCUACGGGAGGCAGCAGUGGGGAAUAUUGCACAAUGGGGGAAACCCUGAUGCAGCAACGCCGCGUGAGUGAAGAAGUAUUUCGAUAUGUAAAGCUCUAUCAGCAGGGAAGAAGAUGACGGUACCUGAGUAAGAAGCCCCGGCUAACUACGUG